UAAUACGUAGGUGGCAAGCGUUGUCCGGAAUUAUUGGGCGUAAAGCGCGCGCAGGCGGGAAUCUAAGUCUGUCUUAAAAGUGCGGGGCUCAACCCCGUGAUGGGAUAGAAACUGGGUUUCUUGAGUGCAGGAGAGGACAGUGGAAUUCCCAGUGUAGCGGUGAAAUGCGUAGAUAUUGGGAGGAACACCAGUGGCGAAGGCGACUGUCUGGACUGUGUCUGACGCUGAGGCGCGAAAGCCAGGGAAGUGAACGGGAUUAGAUACCCCGGUAAUCCUGGCCGUAAACGAUGGGUACUAGGUGUUGGGGGUAUCGACCCCUCCAGUGCCGGAGUUAACGCAAUAAGUACCCCGCCUGGGGAGUACGGCCGCAAGGUUG
rnacentral:rRNA from 1 species